rnacentral:rRNA from 1 species
AACGCUGGCGGCGUGCCUAACACAUGCAAGUCGAACGCGAAAGUCCCGCAAGGGAUCAGUAGAGUGGCAAACGGGUGAGUAACACGUGGGUGACCUGCCUUCGAGUGGGGGAUAACGUCCCGAAAGGGACGCUAAUACCGCAUGACAUCCUGCCUUUGAAGAGGUGGAGCUUAAAGCUGGGGAUCGCAAGACCCAGCGCUUGAAGAGGGGCCCGCGCCUGAUUAGCUAGUUGGUGAGGUAAUGGCUCACCAAGGCAACGAUCAGUAUCCGGCCUGAGAGGGCGGACGGACACACUGGGACUGAGACACGGCCCAGACUCCUACGGGAGGCAGCAGUGGGGAAUUGUUCGCAAUGGGCGCAAGCCUGACGACGCAACGCCGCGUGGAGGAUGAAGACCUUCGGGUCGUAAACUCCUUUCGAUCGAGACGAAUGGCCCUUGGGCUAAUCACCAGGGGAAUGACGGUACCGAGAGAAGAAGCCCCGGCUAACUCCGUGCCAGCAGCCGCGGUAAUACGGGGGGGGCAAGCGUUGUUCGGAAUUACUGGGCGUAAAGGGCUCGUAGGCGGCCAACUAAGUCAGACGUGAAAUCCCUCGGCUUAACCGGGGAACUGCGUCUGAUACUGGAUGGCUUGAGGUUGGGAGAGGGAUGCGGAAUUCCAGGUGUAGCGGUGAAAUGCGUAGAUAUCUGGAGGAACACCGGUGGCGAAGGCGGCAUCCUGGACCAAUUCUGACGCUGAGGAGCGAAAGCCAGGGGAGCAAACG